AUUUGUUGUCCUGUUCAUUCUCUUGGUGGCUUUUCAGCCUCAUCUAGUAUGGAGAUCAGGUGGAGGGAUUACAGAUUGGAUCCAGAAGGUGGUCAACACCUCAUUGUAGGACAAACUGAUACCAAUAAUUUUGAAGGGGAAGUUAUAUCUUUUGAUGGAAACGGAUUCAUAAUUUGGAGGUCCUGCUGGGUCGUAGAUAGAUGGGCAUCACCACUCAUUUGGAUCACGGCAGUGUGUUCUACAUGAUGCUUCCUUUGGAGAUUACCCAGAUAAUUCACUUAUCCAGAAUGCAGCAACUUGACUGUUGGCAGAUGCUUGCCAUUAUAAGUAUUGAGACAACAAUGCUCCAGGCUGUGGCUGUGGCACUUCCACUUCUAAUUUAAAGUGCUAGUUUUGAUCUUUAAAGUUCUACAUGGCUUGGUGUAGGGGCAUCUCCAGGACCAUCUCCUCUACCACAUCUUGCGGAAUUAUUGAAUGGAUGACUUCCUUUCUGAAGGAAAAUACCACCAGCAGAUGGCAAUGUUUAAUAAAGUAUGUCUUCAUUUGUCAUAA